GAAAUAUGGUAAAAGUUCCGUGCUUCAUAAUGUGAAAAAUCUAUUUUUCCUUACAUUGCUGAUUUUCUUUACAGAUUUUUUAUCCUACCUUCGUUUUGGCUCUCUUGUGGGUGGAGGAGGGUUUUUUUUGGAGUUCUCUCUUUUAGAGAAAUGUUACCUCAUCUAAGAAACUCUUACGAAAACUGAACCUUGACAGCUUAAGUUGAAAAAUACUCUCAAUACAUGAAGUUGGAUGAUUUCAGCCACAUCAAUUGGAUGCCUCAAAGUGCAGUCAAAACUCGACAAGAAAGGGAAAAAAUCAUAUUCACAUGACUAUUUUUUAGUUGAACAUUGACCAUUGUUAGCAGGCGGUGCACUGAAAUUGACAUCUCCUUGAAAUCUGUUGAAUUUAUUUUUCCACAAGCAUCGCAGGAUUCCUGAUCCUUAUCCCUCAAUAUCGUUCGUUUGGGUGCACUCGUUUGUGCCUUCAUGGCCAGCCAAGGCCGGCUGCCAGUCAGCUGAUAAUCAAGUUGUCUUAACUCUGGGUAUAAAGGGACUCUACAAGUGCCGAUUCUGUGUGUUAAUCGGUUUACUGCAUGCGACUGCCGAAAGACCUCAUCAAGAUUGCUUUAUACCUCUCCAUUUGGAAAAAAGUCUUCAUGAAGCUGAAAAAAGCUUUGCAGUGAAAUCUCCCGCCACAAUGGUGAAGGCAGGGGGCAGCCCAAAAUCGUUAGAUGAGAAUCAAAAUUUGCAGCAAUACAAUCUACUUAAAUGUUCAUCACAUAUGCAGGUGCCAAGGACCAACAAGUCUGAAGGUAUUUUGAGUCAAUAAUCAUUAUCUGCAUUGGAGUUGGUCAAAAUUCUUUUUUUCAAUGUGAAAAUAUCUGCGUAGAGCAAGAAUUUCUCAUAGCUCAAAUAAUGGAGCUCUGAUAUUAUUUUUUAUCUCUCCAAGUUCUUUCAGUAUCUUUACAGUUUCAUGAAAAAUUGUUAACACUGAAGUGAAUUUUAAGGGAGAUGGCAGUAUCUAAUUUUUUUAACCCCCCCCCCCAAAAAAAAGAAAGAGAAAAAAAUUGUUGGUUUUUUUCUAAUCAAAGUCUACUGUAUUCAACUUAUUUCAAGACCAUGUUUUUCUAAAAUCAGACCGUUAUUGAAUAAGUUACAUAACAUUUUGUGACUAACUGAGUGAUGCAACUUCUGGGUGAUUGAAACUUCAAACUGGUUUUCCUCAAAACAACAUUUUUUUUUAUCUUAUGGCACAUUUUGCCCAGGAUCUUCUAGGUGGAUUUUCGAAAACAAAAAAUUGUUUUUUUAACCUUUUUCUCUAACUACAGACAAGAGGGUGUUCCUCCUUCCUAUUAUUCAGAAGGAGAAAAAAAAUUAGUGUAAAGGCCUUAUUUUCUAUUUUUUUAUUUUUUAAUUAAUGAAAAUUUCAAUUUUCAGAAUUUUCAAAAAUCCUUUCAUCUUCAGCUAGAAAGCAGUCCUAGGAAUCAAACGAAAAUCUUUUUUAAAAAUCCGUCCAGUGGAACCUGUGAAAAGUGUACCUUAGUAUCAGUACUGAAGUUAAUGAUACAGUUAAUGGUGAAGAUAGCAACUCCUCUUAAUAUUAUGAUAUGCUCUGUACUCAUUUGCAUUCAUUGCAAUACCAAGUGCCUGCAAUUUUUUAUUUCUGAAAACCUGAGCAUCAUUAAUCCCAAUAUUACUUGAGAUUUUUCCUUAUGAGAAUCCCAAAGACUGUAUUCCCAGUUAAAGCAUCCAUCAACGUAUCCAGAAAUAAUCAUUUCUUGCAUUUUCAGCAGUAAUUAAAAAAAGUAGCAGGUAUUUUUUUACUCAUGCUCUCGCAAAAAUAAUUUUUUGUAUGUCAUUGGAGACUGUUCAUAAAGUACUAAACACUCCAGAAAGGGGAGGGGAUCAAGCUUGCGUCACUGGAGGGGGGGGGAGUCCAUGGCUGUGUUACCCAGUGCUGAAAGACGCCUGUUUAAAAUGAAAAAUCUGUGCAAGAUGGUAGUUAUUCAUCCGAAAUCCACCUCGAAACGCCAUUUUGGUAGGCUUCCGAAUUCUGUGUUGAAAGUUCUUCUGCACCUUUGCUUCUCCUGUACCCUGUGAUCCUGUCUCCCCAAUGUUUGCCUCGUCAUCGCCUAGGAAUGGCUGCAUUCUGAAGAUCAGUGUAGUUGCACUGUUCAAUGAGUACAAUUAGCGUCUCUGUGCACCAAUUGCAUGCAUUGUUGAUCAAAGAGGCCUCUCUGAAUUACGAGUAGGAUGGGUAGGCUCUUUGGAAAGACCCAUUUCAUCCUCGAUGAAGAUUCUAAAGGUUGAAACCCCAAAAUCAGAUCUUCAAGUUAACAUAUGUGUUUCUUUUUUCCUCUUUAUUGGGUUGUAUCACGGUGCCCACAUUUCCUUGUGAAUGCCCAAUAAGAAUUUUUAUUCACAUCGUUCAUGAAGCUUUCACCACUAGCAUUACUUUCGGACAAGAUUGCCUGAUAUCUUGAGUCAGACCUGCACCUGCCAGUUAUAUACAGUCUGCUGCAGCACUAUGAACAUUAUUUGUCGUGGUCUUUGUAGAAGGUCCAGGCAAACAAGGGUCAUUUUCGUCAUCAUCAUCAGUCAACUCUCCACUGGUGAAAUAUUAUCGUUUCUCAAUGGCGAUAUAGUCCAAAACAAAAUCAUGGUCUUGCAAAUCACUUUCAGGCCACAAACAGAUAGGUAGUUAGUUGCUUAAAGGUGAGGCAUAAAUUUUCUGUUGAUAAAGGUACCCUACCUAGAUCAACUGGUCCUAAUAGCUUUUAUUUCUCUUCAGCGUACCGAUUAUUUUUACACCGAGCAGCUGUUUUUCAAAUUCCUUUUCCAGCUGAUCAAACACUUGAUUUUCUGUUAAGUCUUUUGGCAACAUUACUAGGUCUCGCACCUAUUUUUUCUUGUCAUAAAAGCGUACCUCAUCAUGUGAAAGAGGUGUCCUUUUUUUUACUUUGAGUUAAUUAAAACGACUCUUCCUUCAAUGAUAGAGAAAUUCAUCUUGGUAGAAAAACUGACUCUAAAGUUCUGCCAAGCAUGAAUCGUUAUCUCAUACCCCUUUUGAAAUGAUAUUUACUUUUAAACCUGCUGAUCCUUUAACCUUGAUGUGGAAAAUUAACGAUUUGAUAUCGCCCAAGACCCAAGAUGUUGUGAAAGGGAAAAUACAAUCAAACAAUUCUUCGUCUUGAAGAUGCGGUUGCUCCUUCAUCCUUAAAAUUCGCCCAAUAAAUUUCAACAAAAGUUCUCGAUCCAAACCAUCAAUGUGGGGUAGGUCUCGUACCAUCUUCUCUAAGGGAUUGCGAAGUUUAGAAAAAUUCUUGGACGAACGCUGAGAUGAUCGUGAGUUAAAGAAGGCAUAAGAUGCCAAGUUGGAGUCAGAAUCUUGAAAUGCCAACCUGGGAGAGUUGUUGAUGUUCUUGCGAACAUCAACAUCAUCUAUGGAAUCGUACGGCAUGAAGAACCAACGAUAUGUCCUAUUGGUGUAUACUUCGCAUGAUUCAAAAUGUAUUCCGGGUUGUGUGUCCUAGACAAGGGAAAAGAAAAGGUCGCUUAAGUUGCCCUUCCCGUGGGGGUCCAUAUCGAAUUGCGUGUAAAUGUCCAAACCAGACUGUUUGAUCAUCGACGACUCGUCACGGGUACAAGCCCAGGUGCAUCCAAUAGGGAACUUCAUCUUGAUAGAAAAGCUGACUCCAGAAGUUAAUAGUUCAUGCCAGUAUCAUUA
rnacentral:lncRNA from 1 species